rnacentral:lncRNA from 1 species
ACUCCUCGGAACCCUCGGAGGUUGCGCAUAAACAAUUUUUUCUUCCAGAACGGCCCCCCUCUCCGCCCUGGGGGAGCCGGGAGGAUGUGCAGCCCCAGUCCUCCUGCUCGGCGGAGCCUCGCGCGCGCAGAGCCUAGCGCGAUUCGCGCCCUCAUUACUACUACAAAGCGCGGGCCAGACCAAUCCCCUUUCUAAUGCACCAUUUUCGACUGAGAACAUCAAGAGGCCAGAAACUUCCAAGUCAGCUUGCAGACGCAGACGCCUCCUGGGGUCCUGGCUUUAAGAACCAGAUGCCAACACUCCCGGACAGUUUAUGGCAUCCGGAUCCCUCAAGGGUGCUCAUCUGCAGUUGAGAGUGAUUCUGUGUGAAGAAUACAGAGACAGACGUUCCAUUUCAAAGAAAAAAGAGCAACACGAAGGCCCUCUUUAAGGAGAGAGUAAACAUUCACUUUAGGUAAAAAAUAGUCUUUUACACGCCUGUGCACGGCACACCUCUUUUGCUGUUCACCUUGAGCCCAAGAGUUUGGAAAGGCUGCCCCCAUUUCAGAGAGGAAGAAACGCAGGCACACGUGAAUGACAGACUCCUCUGUGGUGGCCUAGACUCCAGCCAACACUUCCUAGGACAGCCUGCCAUUGUGCAAAGUCACCAUGUAACAAAUGCAGACAUCUCUGAGAUCACCAUGCAGUGAGGAAGUCUAAGCUGGUGGCAUGAAGAGGCCACAUGGAAAGGGCUAAAAAAGGGGCCAGCCUCAGUCAUCCCAGCUGAGCACCUGGCUGGGAAUAAAAGAGGACUCCGUGGAUGUUUACUCCAGGAGCUUCAGUGGUGCAUGCUGAAUGUGCUGUUUCUUGGGCUGGGGGACAGAGAUGUGCAUGCUGUUAUACACUCUAUAUUGAAAUGAUUGUAUAACAAUAUACUAAUUUAUCAUGUAAUAAAUUUGACCAGAAAGAAACAA